AUUACAUUUGUUCUCCGAGUUUUUAUAGAAGCCCCAUCGCUAUCACCAUCACUAUUUUGAUUUUUCCAAGAUGGCCGUUUUUGUUUCGCGAACGUUCUGCGAGGAGAGUUCGGCGACUUGCGUGACUUACGAACAGAACUGCCUAAUUGUACCUACAAUUGAGUAAAUUGUUUUAGAGGAGGGGAUGCCCAGUUUCAGCAGCUUCAAUGUGCGAGGAACACUCCAGCCCCCUCAACAAAGCUGGAGGUGCGGAUAGAGUUGAGAUUUUAACUGACUAAUGAAUGCUGCAUCGGAUGUUAUGCAGUAGUAAGUCAUGACAUUUUUGUAUUUAUGUCGUGCAUCGGCCGUAAAGCGAAACUUACGUUGCGUAGGUUACAUAGGACGUAACUAACUUUUAUUUUGGGUUCUGUUUGUCAUAGCUUUAAUUUUCAUAUUAGGUUACGUCGGACCAAACUUUAUUUUUCAUAUUGGGUACCUUAGAUGUAACUCGAAAUCUUGGGGUAAGGUUACGCUAGACACUGCGUUGAAAGAUGCACUUUUAUUUUUUUGAAAAGUAUUCUUCAACUUACGGCAGUGGCGAAUAGCACUUGUGUUGAUGAGAUGUUUUGAUUCCGCAUGUCCGGAAAGUUGCCGGGGCAGCUGUCGACUAUCUAUAUAGGACGGUAAUGUUGCAGGUACAAAAGUGAAUAAUACACCGUGUUGAAUAUUUAUUUAUUGGUCUUUUUCGGCAGUGCCGCUUGUGCCUGGACAAUGGAAGAUGAUGCAAAGGCCAAAAGAAAACUACUCUGCAUCUGCACUCUGAAUAAUGUGAUGUCUCGGUAGCUACACAUGCUUUGUUAAAGGGAAGUUUAUUUCGCCACUUGCUAGGCAUCAUUGAGCAAGGUGAUCAUGCAGACGGCGACGCAAUGAAGCGUGGAAAUGGGCACCUAAGAGCUGCACUCUAAACCAGUUUUUCUCUGUUGCCGGUGCACAAGCAGGUAAGGGCGGAUAGCAUUCCUAGUGCCAAUUCCUUUGCGGUCAACGAAAAACGCUUUUUGAACAACGCUCUUUCUGUUUUAAGUAUUGUGCAGGCCUUAAGUUUACUAUAAGAACAACAACAACAACAACAAAAAAAAAAUCAC